rnacentral:rRNA from 1 species
UACGUAGGGUGCGAGCGUUGUCCGGAAUUAUUGGGCGUAAAGAGCUUGUAGGCGGUUUGUCGCGUCUGCUGUGAAAAUCCGGGGCUCAACCCCGGACUUGCAGUGGGUACGGGCAGACUAGAGUGUGGUAGGGGAGACUGGAAUUCCUGGUGUAGCGGUGAAAUGCGCAGAUAUCAGGAGGAACACCGGUGGCGAAGGCGGGUCUCUGGGCCGGAACUGACGCUGAGGAGCGAAAGCGUGGGGAGCGAACAGG